ensembl:lncRNA
GGCUCACCCUGAAGGGGAGGGAGGGGGCACAGGCUCACCCUGAAGGGGAGGGAGAAGGGACAGGCUCACCCUGACGGGGAGAUACACGCAGGGCCCAGACCUGAGGGCAGCAGGUGAGGGGCCGGGAAGGGAGCUAGCGACAGGAGAAGGCGAAGACCUGCGUCCUGUUUCUGCAGUGGGUUGAUCAGUGCCCCGCCCCCCGGGAACUGGAGCUGUCUGUCACUAGCCUGCACGUCUCAGACCCUGAAAGCUCCAUUCCCAGUCCUUAGUGAUCCUCUCCUGGUGAUGCCAGGUCCGUUACCGGGCACCUUCCUGGGGUGACAGUACGCUGCUCCAGCCCCUCCAGGGUUUCAGACACAGUCAGAAGUCAAGAAGCAGCGAAAUUCUGCAGCAGUAGGGGGAGAAUUGUUUUUUUCUAAGGGAAAUGAAUAUAGUUUUCAGGACGUAGACAAGGGUCUUUGGCUGGCGUUGGUAACUCGCGUGGUUCGUUCCCCGGCCCUCUCCCUUGUCUGUGUACUUUCCUUCAGGAAGCAGCGUUGCCAAGCCCUGUGCUGGGGAGCUGAUCCCGACCCUGAAGGAGCCCAGACCACGGAGAGAGAGAAGUAGCCACGAACGGAACUGAAGACAGUUCAUAACGCUGUGAUAGAGGACGACGGACACCUUGCUGUGGGGCCACUUAAAAUGUAUUCUUUAAAAACAUCAGUCAACAUUUCACUUUGCUCAAAACCCUGUAAAGGAUUUCCGUUUCACUCAGUGAGAGCCAAAGUUCUUCCAAUGGAAAAGUCCCUACACGGUCUGGCUUCCUCCUCCUCCUGUUAUGGAACCGAAGUGAGUUCUCUCCUGAACCUUCACAGCAGAGGCUUGUUGGCAUAGACUGGGGUAGAGAGAGGAGUUCCGGAGUCAAGCUGCCCGCGCCCAACCCCCUUCCUUUCGUACUCCCAGCUGUGUGCCCUGGAUGUAACGUAACCUCGACAGGACAGAGCUGAGAGGCUUCUGGGAGAGGAGACAUCUGUACACGACCUGGGACGGGAAUCGAGACCCAGGAUGGGAAGGGGGUUGGAGCAGCUCUCAUAACUUACAGGAAUUCUUGGCCACGCCUCUGCAGCCCAAAGACUCUGUUUGCUCUCCAGUUCCUGCCUCCAGGCCGCAGCACCGGCCUUGCCCGCACUGGGGUGCCCUCCAUCCCUCCUGUGCCCUCACGGCCCCAUUACAAUGCAGGUCGAUACUGCCACCCCCGCCGAAGGUUUCCAAGCCAGCUCACCCACAGCCCAGAUUUAUCCUCUCUGUGGACACACACCUCCUUCCAUUCUUCACUUUUCUGUUACUGGUUUUGCAUGCUUCUUUGACUCAGUUAUCUCUGUUUAAAAUCUGUUUUUUUAUUCCUCAGUGACAUCAACCCCAAACACUCUACAUUCUACCAUAUGCUUUGCUGUGUGGUGUAGGGAAUAGAAAGGUGGGAGAUGUUCUGGGCUCACAAUCUAGAAGGUGAGACAGACCCAGGAGGCAGGCUGGGCCCACGAGAAGCCGCAGACUGACAAGCGGCAUGCAUGGGGAUGCGAGGAGACACAUUCUCAGGGGGCAAUGCUCUGGUGGCUCCUGCGGCCUGGCUGGCCUCUCCUGCUCUCUCGGGCGCUCACAGGGGUCGUUUCCACGGGGUUCUUCUACAGGACUUUAACGCCAGCAGCCACACCAUUGUGGUGUUAAGACCAUGGCGGGACAUUGCCAAUGAAACGUCCGCAAAACGGGGAGGAAGAUCAUGGAGGAGGCAGGGGCAGGGAGAAAAGUGGGAAGGCCAUUUAGCAGAAAAGCAAAAAUAUCUGUCAUUGAGAAUUUUGGAAUGUUUGUGCUGGAGGCAGAGAGGAGGAAAAUGUAAAAAGUCUGAAAAAAAAAAAAAGCCGCCGUCUGUCUGGGGCACCAGCACGCAGUCAUUCGAGACCACAGAGUGACACCUAGUGGACACCUGGGAAGAUGCUUCCUGCAGGGGAGCUCGGCGCCGCCCGCCCAAGUGGUUUCGUAGAGCUGGGGAUGCCGAGCGCAGGAAGGACCCGGGCCCGGUGCUCGCCGCUCGGAGCUGCCCCCGAUCCGCCCUGGGAGGACGCCCGGGGAGAGUGCUGUGCCGGGACUCCGGAGUCCAGUCCUGGCCCAGAUGCCAGCUGGGAGACCUCGCACGGGAAACUGUGUCUGUCGGGAAGCGGGGAGAGGCUCUUCCCUCGGCUCCACCGCUCUGGAUUCCCCCCUCUGCCAGCCCCCAGCCCCGCUCCGCACAGCCCCUGCCUCCGCUGUUCUGCCCGCCCUCCUUGGGGGACUGCGGUGAGCUCGGAGGACGGGCAAACUCCUGCGAGCAGAAGGCCCACCUUUCAAGUUUUCAUAUUACCUCCAACGCAAGGCUGAAUCCGAUCACCGAUGCCAAGCUACGGGCACAGUGCUUUGCUGGCGGUGAGCGCUCUAAGAAAGCUCUGUCGGAGGAAAGAGUCCUGGAUCUUGAGUCAGGAUUCCAGCCCCGUGUAAACACAAGCACCUCGGGAACUGGAGCCGAGGAGUUCUUCUAGAAAGUUCUAGACUGUUCCUUAGUCAAAAUUAGCCCCUUUACAAUUUUACCCCAUUUGUCCUUGUUCAGCCUUCUGAAGCGGUUCAGAAUAACUAUUUUUAUGCGACGCCUGCAAACACCUUUUAUGCUCCCUGUAAAUAUUGCCAUUUUGGGCUAAAUGUGCUCAACUUCAUUCUUUACAGCAGUGGUUCUCAAACAAGGAUUUUGCCCCUGAGGGCACAUGUGGCAGUGUCUGGAGACCUUUCGGUUGUCACACCUUGAGGAGGGAGGCUGCUACUGACAUCUAGUGGGCAGAGGCCUAGAUGCAGCCAACCUCCUGCAGGGCUCCCGGCGGGCCCCACCCCCACCACGCACACAAAGAACUAUCCAUUGCAGAAUGCACGCGUGCUGAGGUCGUGGAGCCCUGCUUGAGACAGCUGGGACUUCUUAGCAUCCCCGUCCAUUCUGCGGACGCUCUUCAUUCAUCGGCGACGUUUGUACCGCGAUGUGGUACAGAACUCCAGACCAGCUCUGACCAGCCUGGGCAUCUUGGGGUGUACACACGGGACGUCCCUCAGUGGAGCGUAGAGAUUAGAUCAACCCUCCAAGCAAUCUUUUGCUCAUAUGGCGAGUCUGUCCUUACUGUUUACGAACAAAGAACUUAUGGACAAACGUGCGUACAAUUAAAUAAAAGAUAUACAUUACCU